rnacentral:lncRNA from 1 species
UUAAAAUACAUCAUGUACAUACAUGUGACAUACACAAUUAUAUAUAAAUGUAGAAUCAAAUCUUGAUAAAUGUAUGUAGUUGAAAUUGUUAGCUUUAAACAUUAAAAAAAUGAACUCCCAAAGUUUAAACACAAUUAAGAAUGACCAUGUACAUGAUGUAGUCUGUAAUGUAUGCCAUUGCCAUGAAGCUAGAUCAUUGUAGGUAAACUGUCAUCUAUUCCCUUAAAUCUUUGUCCCCAGUCACCCCAAGUUUGAUUUAAAUUAGGGAGCUACCAUUUGAUUUUUAUGGGGGGCUAGGAUGAAAUUUGAAAAAAAUAGGCAGAACAGGAGUUUUGAGAAAAAAAAAAGGCAGGAUGAGACACUAGCAAAAAAAAAAGUCAGGACGACAAUUUUGGUACAGGAUAAACUAAAAAAAGAAAGGCAGGAACGAACAGAGUGAAAAAUAAAAAGGCAGGACAGAGAUUACAGCUAAAAAAAAAUGCAGGAUAAAAUUUUUCAUCCUAGCCCCCCCCCCCCUAAAAAUCAAAUGGUAGCUCCCUUAGUCAAGUAUAUAUCUACUCUAUUAGGUCUCUAGUUUGGAUAGUGUAUAACUUGCAAAUUAAAAUCAUACUCCUUCCAAAUUUCUUUCUUUAAAAUAUUAUGGAUGAAAUAGCAAGUAAAGAAUGAAAUUAAAUUGGAUGAAAUGUGUCAAUUUUUUUGGUAAAGUAAAAGUAGUAUGUCUGAAGUUGUCAAACUUAAUGAUAGACCCUUCAGGGGCGGAUCCAGUCAUUUUAAAAAGGGGUUUCCUAACCCAGGACAAAAAG